rnacentral:rRNA from 1 species
UAGUCCACGCCGUAAACGAUGGGCACUAGGUGUGGCGGGUGCAUUAACGCCUGCCGCGCCGUAGCUAACGCAUUAAGUGCCCCGCCUGGGGAGUACGGUCGCAAGGCUAAAACUCAAAGGAAUUGACGGGAGCCCGCACAAGCGGCGGAGCAUGCGGCUUAAUUCGAUGUAACCCGAAGAACCUUACCUGGACUUGACAUCACGGGAAAAGCCAUGGAAACAUGGUGUGCUUUUGCGUCCGUGACAGGUGGUGCAUGGCUGUCGUCAGCUCGUGUCGUGAGAUGUUGGGUUAAGUCCCGCAUCGAGCGCAACCCCUGUCCUAUGUUGCCAGCGGAUAAUGCCGGGGACUCAUGGGAGACUGCCGGGGACAACUCGGGAGGAAGGCGGGGGACGACGUCAAGUCAUCAUG